AUUGAACGCUGGCGGCAUGCCUUACACAUGCAAGUCGAACGGCAGCGGACCUUCGGGUGCCGGCGAGUGGCGAACGGGUGAGUAAUGUAUCGGAACGUACCUUUCAGUGGGGGAUAACGUAGCGAAAGUUACGCUAAUACCCCAUAUUCUGUGAGCAGGAAAGGAGGGGGUCGCAAGACCUUGCGCUGAUUGAUGUGCGGAUAUCAGAUUAGCUAGUUGGUGAGGUAAAGGCUCACCAAGGCGACGAUCUGUAGCGGGUCGGAGAGGAUGAUCCGCCACACUGGAACUGAGACACGGUCCAGACUCCUACGGGAGGCAGCGGUGGGGAAUUUUGGACAAUGGGGGCAACCCUGAUCCAGCCAUGCCGCGUGAGUGAAGAAGGCCUUCGGGUUGUAAAGCUCUUUCGUCCGGGAAGAAAUCUCAUCAGCUAAUACCUGGUGUGGAUGACGGUACCGGAAUAAGAAGCACCGGCUAACUACGUGCCAGCCGCCGCAGUAAAAC
rnacentral:rRNA from 1 species